UCCGCUUUACAGCGGCAGUUUGUUCCGAGUCCCCGACGUUACUCGCUGGUAACAGAACAUGAGGGUUGCGCUCGUUGCGGGACUUAACCCAACAUUUCACAACACGAGCUGACGACAGCCAUGCAGCACCUGUGGCACACCCUCGAAGGUCACACGUUUCCGUGCGCUUGCAGUGCCAUGUCAAGCCCAGGUAAGGUUCUUCGCGUUGCAUCGAAUUAAAGAACAUGCUCCGCUGCUUGUGCGGGCCCCCGUCAAUUCUUUUGAGUUUUAGUCUUGCGACCGUACUCCCCAGGCGGGCCACUUAAUGCGUUAGCUUCGGCACGGGGGGAGUCGACACCCCCCACACCUAGUGCCCAUCGUUUACGGCGUGGACUAC
rnacentral:misc_RNA from 1 species